GACGAACGCUGGCGGCGUGCUUAACACAUGCAAGUCGAACGGAAAGGCCCUGCUUUUGUGGGGUGCUCGAGUGGCGAACGGGUGAGUAACACGUGAGUAACCUGCCCUUGACUUUGGGAUAACUUCAGGAAACUGGGGCUAAUACCGGAUACGAGCUCCUGCUGCAUGGUGGGGGUUGGAAAGUUUCGGCGGGUGGGGAUGGACUCGCGGCUUAUCAGCUUGUUGGUGGGGUAGUGGCUUACCAAGGCUUUGACGGGUAGCCGGCCUGAGAGGGUGACCGGCCACAUUGGGACUGAGAUACGGCCCAGACUCCUACGGGAGGCAGCAGUGGGGAAUAUUGCACAAUGGGCGGAAGCCUGAUGCAGCAACGCCGCGUGCGGGAUGACGGCCUUCGGGUUGUAAACCGCUUUCGCCUGUGACGAAGCGUGAGUGACGGUAAUGGGUAAAGAAGCACCGGCUAACUACGUG
rnacentral:rRNA from 1 species